rnacentral:lncRNA from 1 species
UUUUUUGGACUCAAAGCGCCCUUUGAGAGUUUUCACCUUGGUCUUUUUUUGUUUUUCUCUCUUGUUUUUUUUAGGAAUCAAAGCACCCUUUGCGGGUUUUUACCUUGGUCCCUUCUCCUUCUUCAGGGGAAGUAUUUCUUGACCGAAUCUGAGUUUACAGGAUUUGGCAAGUUUUUACCAUCCAUCUCAUUCAAGAUCAAAGCUCCUCCGGAAAAUACCUUCUUUACGACAUAAGGACCUUCCCAAUUUG